CGAGCUAGUGGAGUUGGGUGUCGAUCUGGAAGGGGACGGCGCUUCCCACCGGAGCCCCUGGACACAGCACCCUCUCUGCGUCUCCACCCUGCGAACCCUGAGUCCUCCGAGGUCAGGAUCCUGCGGAUGGAAGCGUCAUCCUUAGCACCCUGAUUUGAACAGAAGUGCCGACAUCCUAACCCGCCGCCUGACCUCACCGUGACCCUGGGUCUGCGGGCACAGCUGCACAGUUGUGAGAAAGGGAUUGAGGCUUGAAGAUCCUGUAGGUGUGUUCAUGGUUCUCCAUGACCAGGGUUAAAUAAUUGUUGGGCAGUUACCAAACUGCUGAAAUCCUGGAUUGAGACACUUCUAGUGACUACCUGUAGUAAAUACCAGCCUCUCUUCUUUUGGAACUUGCAGUUUUGGGGAGCAAAUCAAAGGCUAGUUGUUAACCACAGGAAGCAGGAAAGAAGUUCUCAAGGUGAGAAAUGGAGACUUCGCAUUGACUUCUAAAGGGUGGGCAAGGGCUACCUGGAAAGAAAGAAUUCUGACUUCAUGGCUUUAUUUAUUCCAAAGAAUUAGGUGGGAAGAUAAACAUUUCAUUAGUUCAAGAAAAAUCUCGAAACACUCCAUGGGGCCGGCAGAAGAUUUGUCAAAUAAAUCACGACUGUGGGAAAAGUGGGUCAGAUGCUCAUUCACAGGCCUGAAGGACGUCCCUGAUACAUUGUACAACAGAAAGGGCACGGCAAGACAUUUUCCAAGAUAGGAGCCCUCCUGGAGUGCUGAGCUUCCAUCCAUGACACCAAAUGACAUUUAGUCACCCAAUCUCCUUGGGUUAUGCUUGAC